rfam:Microdochium bolleyi strain J235TASD1 unplaced genomic scaffold Micbo1qcscaffold_18, whole genome shotgun sequence.
GCUCGGUUAGCUCAGUUGGUCAGAGCGUCGUACUAAUAUUGCCAGCUCACAUCGUGAGUACAAUACCAUGUAAUGCGAAGGCCGAGAGUUCAAGCCUCUCACUGAGCA